rnacentral:rRNA from 1 species
GAUCCUGGCUCAGGAUGAACGCUGGCGGCGUGCAUAGCACAUUCAAGUCGAACGAGGCAGCAAUGCCUAGUGGCGGACGGGUGAGUAACGCGUGAGCAACCUGCCCUUGCGUAAGGGAUACCAUCUGGAAACGGAUGUUAAUACCGCAUAAAGUACAAGCGACCGCAUGGUCGUAGUACCAAAGAUUUAUUGCGCAAGGAUGGGCUCGCGUCCCAUUAGAUAGUUGGUGAGG